AGUGAACGCUGGCGGUAGGCCUAACACAUGCAAGUCGAACGGCAGCACAGUAAGAGCUUGCUCUUACGGGUGGCGAGUGGCGGACGAGUGAGGAAUACAUCGGAAUCUACUUUUUCGUGGGGGAUAACGUAGGGAAACUUACGCUAAUACCGCAUACGACCUACGGGUGAAAGCAGGGGAUCUUCGGACCUUGCGCGAUUGAAUGAGCCGAUGUCGGAUUAGCUAGUUGGCGGGGUAAAGGCCCACCAAGGCGACGAUCCGUAGCUGGUCUGAGAGGAUGAUCAGCCACACUGGAACUGAGACACGGUCCAGACUCCUACGGGAGGCAGCAGUGGGGAAUAUUGGACAAUGGGCGCAAGCCUGAUCCAGCCAUACCGCGUGGGUGAAGAAGGCCUUCGGGUUGUAAAGCCCUUUUGUGGGGAAAGAAAAGCAGCAGGUUAAUACCCCGCUGUUCUGACGGUACCCAAAGAAUAAGCACCGGCUAACUUCGUG
rnacentral:rRNA from 1 species